UAGGGAAUCUUCCGCAAUGGACGAAAGUCUGACGGAGCAACGCCGCGUGAGUGAAGAAGGUUUUCGGAUCGUAAAACUCUGUUGUUAAAGAAGAACAAGGAUGAGAGUAACUGCUCAUCCCCUGACGGUAUUUAACCAGAAAGCCACGGCUAACUACGUG
rnacentral:rRNA from 1 species